AGUUUGAUCAUGGCUCAGAUUGAACGCUGCGGCAUGCCUUACACAUGCAAGUCGAACGGCAGCACGGGAGCUUGCUCCUGGUGGCGAGUGGCGAACGGGUGAGUAAUACAUCGGAACGUACCCUGAAGUGGGGGAUAACGUAGCGAAAGUUACGCUAAUACCGCAUAUUCUGUGAGCAGGAAAGAGGGGGAUCGCAAGACCUCUUGCUUUAGGAGCGGCCGAUGUCGGAUUAGCUAGUUGGUGAGGUAAAGGCUCACCAAGGCGACGAUCCGUAGCGGGUCUGAGAGGAUGAUCCGCCACACUGGGACUGAGACACGGCCCAGACUCCCACGGGAGGCAGCAGUGGGGAAUUUUGGACAAUGGGCGCAAGCCUGAUCCAGCCAUGCCGCGUGAGUGAAGAAGGCCUUCGGGUUGUAAAGCUCUUUCGGUGGGGAAGAAAUUGCUUCGGUUAAUACCUGGAGUAGAUGACGGUACCCGCAUAAGAAGCACCGGCUAACUACGUG
rnacentral:rRNA from 1 species